GGCAGCAUGGUGUAGUGGUUUGAGUGUAGGAUUACAACUCUGGAGACCAGGGUUCGAUACCCCGCUUGGCCA
rnacentral:tRNA from 1 species